AGGAAUAUUGGUCAAUGGGCGGGAGCCUGAACCAGCCAAGUAGCGUGAAGGACGACGGCCCUACGGGUUGUAAACUUCUUUUAUAAGGGAAUAAAGUUCGCCACGUGUGGUGUUUUGUAUGUACCUUAUGAAUAAGCAUCGGCUAAUUCCGUGCCAGCAGCCGCGGUAAUACGGAAGAUGCGAGCGUUAUCCGGAUUUAUUGGGUUUAAAGGGAGCGUAGGCGGGCUUUUAAGUCAGCGGUCAAAUGUCGUGGCUCAACCAUGUCAAGCCGUUGAAACUGUAAGCCUUGAGUCUGCACAGGGCACAUGGAAUUCGUGGUGUAGCGGUGAAAUGCUUAGAUAUCACGAAGAACUCCGAUCGCGAAGGCAUUGUGCCGGGGCAUAACUGACGCUGAGGCUCGAAAGUGCGGGUAUCAAACAGGAUUAGAUACCCUGGUAGUCCGCACGGUAAACGAUGAAUGCUCGCUAUGGGCGAUAUAUUGUCCGUGGCCAAGCGAAAGCGUUAAGCAUUCCACCUGGGGAGUACGCCGGCAACGGUGAAACUCAAAGGAAUUGACGGGGGCCCGCACAAGCGGAGGAACAUGUGGUUUAAUUCGAUGAUACGCGAGGAACCUUACCCGGGCUUGAAUUGCAGGUGCAUGAGUCAGAGACGGCUCUUUCCUUCGGGACUCCUGUGAAGGUGCUGCAUGGUUGUCGUCAGCUCGUGCCGUGAGGUGUCGGCUUAAGUGCCAUAACGAGCGCAACCCCUCUCCUUAGUUGCCAUCAGGUUAAGCUGGGCACUCUGGGGACACUGCCACCGUAAGGUGUGAGGAAGGUGGGGAUGACGUCAAAUCAGCACGGCCCUUACGUCCGGGGCUACACACGUGUUACAAUGGCAGGUACAGAGAGACGGUCCCUUGCAAAAUGGAUCAAAUCCUUAAAGCCUGUCUCAGUUCGGACUGGGGUCUGCAACCCGACCCCACGAAGCUGGAUUCGCUAGUAAUCGCGCAUCAGCCAUGGCGCGGUGAAUACGUUCCCG
rnacentral:rRNA from 1 species